UCCCCAAAUACCCGCUUUCUUUAUUGUUUGCCGCUCCCUCCCCAAAUUCCCUAUUUUUCUCUUGAACUCCAUUUCUUCUCUCUUUCUCCAUAUCCCUUCUUCUUCUCGCAAAUCCAUGGAAGACCACAACCAAGCCCGUGGGGUGAGCAUUCGUGAAGGCGGAGCACGAAGAGGCUUGCGAAGGCCUGACGUUGCUCACAGCGGAGGUGUGCGGUGGCUCGCAGCGAAGGCGGAGCUGGGUUGACGAUGGGCGCAAGGAUGGGGCUGGAUCUCUCGGAGUGGAACAGGAAUGGUUUCAGCAUCUAUUUGUUUUUUAGUUGCUGAGAUUGUUUUUGUAAGGUUAAACUUAAACCUAUUUGAUAAAUUGCAGAGAUUGUUUUUUAGUUGCAAAGAUUAAUAUUUAGUUGCAUAAAUUUUUCUUGGUAAAGCAUGUUGAACCCAAAAUUUGCUGAGAAUUGCAUGGUAAAUUGUAUUUGACUAUUUUGGCUUUAUUUAGCUCUUUGGUUUGACACUUUAGCUUAUCGAUUUUUUUAAAAAAUAUUUAGUCAUUAAUAGUAUGUUGGCUCAUCAAAAGUGGUUUGCUAACGCAUUUUACAUUCAGAUGUUCUGGGAUGAGGAUUUAUAGAUUGGGAACUUUAAUGGGUCAAUAUUGAUAUUUUUAUGUAUUAUAUGUUUUUUAUAAUUAGUCUGUUCUGCUGGUUUAUAUAUGUGCACAGAGAGUGAGAGUGGUGAGUUUGAUUAUGUGGAUGUGAGUGAGAAAGGACCACCACACUAGAGAGAGUUAAAGGAAGAAUGGAGGAUGAGAGUGGAUUUGAUUGUUGGUUUAGCUCUUAAAUUUUGGAUCCUUUCAUUCAUGAAUGCAAGUAUCAGUAAUGUGUAUAUAUAUAUAGCGCAGAAAAGAAAGUGAUGAAAUUCUAUGACUGUCUUUACCACAAAUAAAGACUAUGGAAAAGAAGAGAGAGAAGCACAAUGGGCUGCAACGCAGAGGACACUCCAUGGUCUUCAACCACCGGAAUCCACCCGAAAAAAGUAGUUACAGGGAGCUUUCAUAGAUUGCAGAACAAGCCAAGCGCUGGGCUGAGGUGGCAAGGUGAGCAAGUGCAGCUUUCUAAUUUUAAGUUGUAUUGCUUGCCAUACUAGGCAGGCUUAGGGAGUUGCAUACACUAAAGGGUCAUGUUGAGUCAGUGGUGAAGCUGAAAGGUACCUUUCCUAACACACUCUCACUCUCACCAGGUAUACACACACACAAAUAUAUAUGUUUUUUUUUUGGUUUUAUUCAUUUUAUUUCAAUUUUAACUUUAUUUUUUCUCUCUCCCUCUCUCUGAUCUGCUACUAUGAAGAAAAUCACCCAAAACUAGUUUUGAUUUUGUGGUAUAUAUGUGUAUUUAUUUAUUUAUGAUCUGCAGUUGAUAAAUAUAUGAGAUUUGUAGUUGGUUUUUGUUUUUGUUGAUAAAUAAAUAUGAUUUAUAGAUUUGUUUUUGUUUAUAUUUGUAGUUUUUUUUAUUUUCUUUUUGAGAUCUGUUUAAUGGAGUGAAAAAUUGAGACUUUGGUGGAAAAAUAUGUCUAAUUUGUGUAUGAUUGUCAUUAGUUGCACUGAUUUAAGGAGGUUUUGUUAUAUUCUUGGUUUUCCAACUUUAAAGCUUGUGGUACUUGAUUACAUGAUUUGUUAUGUUUUACCGGUUAAAUAUUUUGUUGUAUUAAUUUUAUUCUCUCUUUUAUGUGUCUGAAAGGGGAAAGUUUUUGGGUUUUCUAUGUAAAUUAUUACCUGUAUCUUAGUUGGACACUUUGAUCAUGAUUUUGAGCAUGAAAUCUAUUCAAUUCCUCGUAACCACACUUUAUAUAUUGUGAUAUUUUUCAGUUUAGUAGUAAUUAUGAAUAUGACGAUUUCUUUCAAGUUCCUUAUAACUGCCAUAUUCUUUGUCUCUCACUAUGAUCUCAAUAUUUAUCCUCUCAUCAUUGAUACAAUGUUUAUCUGAUCUCAGUCCCAUUUAUUGAGAGAAAUUUUCAAGACUAAUGCAUGUUAACUUAUGGGACUGCAUGACAAAACCCAUACAUUUAAGGUGCCUACUGCCCUGCUACUACUCUGGUAUCAUAACCAGGAAAAAAAAGCAAUAACUAGAUUUUAUGACUGGUAAUUUCUAUGGAACUAAUUUGAAAAAUAAUGCAUCAGGGACAAAAAAAAAAUGAAGCAAGAAUAAUUCUAGUGAUAGCUGAGUGAAUAUAAUGCAUUGAUACUGCAUUAGUGUGGGAUACUUUGUUUUUGAUAUUGCUUUGUUUAUUUAGAUUUGGAUAAUUUUUCUUUUUAUAUUUAUAUGAUGAUUAAAUUGGGGAUAUUUAAUCUAAUUUGCUAUAAUAUUUUCAUCUUUUUUGGUGUAUUCAGAUUUAUGUGUGCUAUUUUAUUAUUGCAUGUUUUAUAUAUAGAAAUAACUACAUACAUGAGUUGAAACAAAUUCUUAUGUUAUAUCUGCUUGAAACUUACACUUUUAGAUUAAGCAUGUACAUAUAGUAAGGAGUUCAAAUUUUGUUGAUAAUUUGAAAUCAUGGUAUGAAAAUUGAUCCUAAAUUUGAAACUGCCGUAGAAAUGGCUCUUUUUAUAUAUUGUCCUUCUGAGCUAAAAUUAUAUUAAAAAGUUUGGUUAAAUUUUGUCUCGUGAUUUAUAAUUCUUCUAGUAUCCUGUAGGCUUCUAGGUAUAAGUUCACGGUAGAAGCUAACAAAUAGCACCUCAGGAAUAUGUGAGAUUGUUGAAACAAGUUUGCUUUUACAGCAGAGGGCAAAGGAAGUAGUACAAAUUCUUACUUUGUAAAGACUAUUGGUAACGAGGGUGAGUACAAUGACAAGAAGAAGAAAUAUAUGUUGUAUGACAAUGAAUUUAGUGUUUUAUUUUAUUUGUAAUUUUUAUUAGAGUAAAUGAUUCUUUUUUGAGUGGUUAAUUAUUUGCUUUGUAAAUCUAGUUAUAUAUUUUUUAAAGUCAAGACGAUUAUGUCUAUAGUCAAGGCUAUAUAAUUUUUGAGUUAUAUUUGUCAAAAUUUUGUUUUAUUAGAUUUAUAAAUACUUUGUCUAAGUUUUGUUAUUUUAAUCUAUAAUUUUUUAGAUUUGUAUAUAAAUGUUUCAUUUAAAUCAUAAUUUUUAAUUUAAAAUAAAAAUAAAUAUUUUUUUUGCAAGCAACGGCGAUACCUAAUAACUGUCGGUGUUAUCAGCAAUGGCGACACUUAAUAACUGUCGGCGUAGCCAGCAACGGCGACACCUAAUAACUGUCGGCGUAGCCAGCAACGGCGACACCUAAUAACUGUCAGCGUAGCCAGCAACGGCGACACCUAAUAACUGUCGGCUUAGUCAGCAACGACGACACCUAAUAACUGUCGGCAUUGCCAACAACGGCGACACCUAAUAACUGUCGGCGUAGCCAGCAACAACGACACUUAAUAACUGUCGGCGUAGCUACCCUUACGCCGGCAUAGGCAAAUACGACAGUCAACUGUUGUCGUUGCUCAAUAACGACAGUUAAAAACUGUCAGGAAAUCCUAUUUUUGUAGUAGUGAACAAUCUUGAGGCAAUCCUUGCAUUGGAGUUUGUAAUGAAUCUUUUAUGUUAUUUUUCUUUAUUGUCCUGUACUGUAUUGCCUAUUGGCUUAGCUGUUUUUGGCCUUUCUGUAUUUUUUGCCUAUUAAUACAAUGCAGCUCCUCAGUAUCAUUUUUGAGCUGAGUUUAUUCA